ACGGGAGGCAGCAGUGGGGGAUAUUGCACAAUGGGGGAAACCCUGAUGCAGCGACGCCGCGUGAGUGAAGAAGUAAUUCGUUAUGUAAAGCUCUAUCAGCAGGGAAGAAAAUGACGGUACCUGACUAAGAAGCUCCGGCUAAAUACGUGCCAGCAGCCGCGGUAAUACGUAUGGAGCAAGCGUUAUCCGGAUUUACUGGGUGUAAAGGGAGCGUAGACGGCGAGGCAAGUCUGAUGUGAAAGCUAUGGGCUCAACCCAUAAACUGCAUUGGAAACUGUCUUGCUUGAGUGUCGGAGAGGUAAGCGGAAUUCCUAGUGUAGCGGUGAAAUGCGUAGAUAUUAGGAGGAACACCAGUGGCGAAGGCGGCUUACUGGACGAUAACUGACGUUGAGGCUCGAAAGCGUGGGGAGCAAACAGGAUUAGAUACCCUGGUA
rnacentral:rRNA from 1 species